UCACCUCCGCAGGCUGCCGGCCCCCAGGCUGGGCUGGGCGAGUGUCUCUUCGAAAGGCUCACCUCCAGCACGACUAGGAGC
rnacentral:pre_miRNA from 1 species